AUGAACAACAGUUACGAUGUCAAACCCAGUGACGAUGCCGCCGUCACGACAGUGCCGCAUCAGCGUAUGCACGAGUCGGAGCCGGGAAAGGUCACCGAGAACACUUCCCUGUCUCCCAACAACAAUCAGACCUACUUCGCCGACGAGAGGGUGCCGGUGCCAGAAACAGGACACACGGGGUUUAGCUUUAGGAAACUAUGGGCUUUCACGGGGCCUGGCUUUUUAAUGUCCAUAGCUUAUCUGGAUCCUGGCAACAUAGAAUCGGAUCUACAAUCCGGAGUGGUGGCAAGAUACAAGUUAUUAUGGGUACUACUAAGCGCUACUGUCCUAGGUCUCGUUAUGCAAAGACUCAGCGCGCGCCUCGGCGUAGUUACCGGUCUACAUCUGGCAGAGAUGUGUUACAGACAAUACAAAAAAGUACCUAGAUUUAUUUUAUGGAUAAUGAUUGAAAUAGCGAUUAUUGGUAGUGAUAUGCAAGAGGUAAUAGGAACGGCUAUUGCCCUUUACCUCUUAUCUAACAAAGCGAUUCCUAUAUGGGGUGGCGUACUAAUCACAGUAGUCGAUACAUUCACAUUUUUAUUCCUAGACAAAUACGGAUUGAGGAAACUGGAGUUUUUCUUUGGUUUUCUCAUCAUGAUCAUGGCUGUUACCUUCGGUUACGAGUAUGUCGUUUCCGAGCCCUCUCAAAUAGAUGUUAUAAGCGGUAUGUUUGUUCCAUGGUACAAUGGAAUGAAUUACGAUAACAAGGUACUGCUUCAAGCGGUGGGAAUCGUCGGCGCGGUUAUUAUGCCGCAUAACUUGUACCUUCAUAGUGCCUUGGUCAAAUCCAGAGACAUUGAUCGAAGACAGCCUGCAAAGAUCAAAGAUGCCAACAUGUAUUACUUCAUUGAGGCCUGCAUCGCACUAUUCGUUUCAUUUCUAAUCAACGUCUUUGUCGUAGCUGUAUUUGCUCAUGGUCUGUUCGACAAGACGAAUGACGAUGUUUAUAAACUUUGCGAAGCAAAUAAUUAUACUCUCGGCAUGGAAACUUUUGUUCAAAACAAUGCGACAUUCAGUGCUGAUCUUUACAAGGGUGGAGUCUUCCUCGGUUGUUCCUUCGGCGCAGCCGCAAUGUACAUAUGGGCCGUUGGUAUUUUAGCCGCCGGACAAUCGUCCACGAUGACGGGCACUUACGCCGGUCAAUUCGCGAUGGAAGGAUUCUUAAAUCUGCAGUGGGCACGAUGGAAACGAGUUCUCUUCACUCGAACAAUCGCUAUAGUUCCUACGUUCUUAGUAGCGUUCUUCGCCGACAUGAACAAUUUGAGCAGCAUGAAUGAUAUUUUAAACGCUAUAAUGAGCUUGCAAUUACCGUUCGCCACCCUGCCGACAAUUGCCUUCACCAGCAGUGCUCAAAUCAUGGGUGAAUUCCGAAACGGAAUACUGAAUAAGAUCGUGUCGACCGCUUUAUCGGUCCUAGUGAUAGUGAUAAACAUAUAUUUCGUGGCACAAACUGUCCAAGAAGACCUGCCCAACAAUUGGGCUAUCUACUUAGCCAUGUCUGUGUAUGCGAUUUUGUAUCUUAUUUUUUGCGCUUACUUGGCUAUCCACAUGGCUGUGAGUAUGGGUGCAACUUCCCUCGGCAAUAAUUGGUUCGUUACUAAGUACAUUGGUACGCCCGUAAGUCCGACCCUAGGUAUAUCAAAUCCUGCCGUUUACGCCAGUUUCCACAAUACGUCGGAAACCUCGUUAAACGCUUAGUCGGAGUAAUGCAAUUGAAUGUGCAAUUGAGACGUACAAUAUGUGGCCUUUGUGUUCCACGAACACGUGAAAACAAUGUCGUGUCGGAAAGGUGCUUAUAUCAUCUCGUGAUGUCAGCAUGGUGCCUCAUGAACAAAUCCAGCGUUUACUAUACAAGAAAGCGGCAGUUUUACAUCUAUACCAGAAUGGUAACAUCUUCACAAGUAUAUCAGCAUCGGAUAUGUAAACGAUGUGUACUAUGGGGAUAGAAAAAGUCUGUUUUCAAUUGCACAAUUGAAUAAGAGGUAAUAAUGCCUAGUGCAUCGCAUUGACAUCCCAUCGUUAAAUUUAUUAGUAUCAUGAUUUUUUUAAUUUUUCAUUAUAUGAUGGCUGGAUAAUUCAAAUGUUAAUUCGCGCAUAAAAAACAACAUAUAUUGAUAUAAUAUUACAUAUUCAGCAAUCUUUCUUUCAUUUAAGUAUUUUCUAUAACGAUAUAUAUAUCUUUUAAAUAUUAUUAACAUAUUUAUAAUACCUAGAUUCGUUUUGCAAAUUAUGUAUGUGCAUAAUAAUGUCGGGUCU